rnacentral:tRNA from 1 species
ACCCGGUUGGCUCAGUCGGCAGAGCAUGCGGCUCUUAAUCUUGGGGUCAUGGGUUCAAGCCCUACAUUGGGUG